rnacentral:ncRNA from 1 species
CCUAUGGAGUAUCACAUCAAAUGUGAGUAGCUGUUACCACUGCAAAAGCAGAUACGAUGAAAUAGGAA